rnacentral:rRNA from 1 species
AGUGAACGCUGGCGGUAGGCCUAACACAUGCAAGUCGAACGGCAGCACAGGAGAGCUUGCUCUCUGGGUGGCGAGUGGCGGACGGGUGAGGAAUACAUCGGAAUCUGCCCAGUCGUGGGGGAUAACGUAGGGAAACUUACGCUAAUACCGCAUACGACCUUCGGGUGAAAGAGGGGGAUCGCAAGACCUCUCGCGAUUGGAUGAGCCGAUGUCGGAUUAGCUAGUUGGCGGGGUAAUGGCCCACCAAGGCGACGAUCCGUAGCUGGUCUGAGAGGAUGAUCAGCCACACUGGAACUGAGACACGGUCCAGACUCCUACGGGAGGCAGCAGUGGGGAAUAUUGGACAAUGGGCGCAAGCCUGAUCCAGCCAUACCGCGUGGGUGAAGAAGGCCUUCGGGUUGUAGAGCCCUUUUGUUGGGAAAGAAAUCUUUCAGGCUAAUACCCUGGGAGGAUGACGGUACCCAAAGAAUAAGCACCGGCUAACUUCGUG